rnacentral:tRNA from 1 species
GGAUGUAGCUCAGUGAUAGAACGUGUGAUUAGAAUGCACAAGGCCCUGGGUUUGAUCCCCAGCACCA